rnacentral:rRNA from 1 species
AUUGAACGCUGGCGGCAGGCUUAACACAUGCAAGUCGAGCGGGGGAAGGUAGCUUGCUACCGGACCUAGCGGCGGACGGGUGAGUAAUGCUUAGGAAUCUGCCUAUUAGUGGGGGACAACAUCUCGAAAGGGAUGCUAAUACCGCAUACGUCCUACGGGAGAAAGCAGGGGAUCUUCGGACCUUGCGCUAAUAGAUGAGCCUAAGUCGGAUUAGCUGGUUGGUGGGGUAAAGGCCUACCAAGGCGACGAUCUGUAGCGGGUCUGAGAGGAUGGUCCGCCACACUGGGACUGAGACACGGCCCAGACUCCUACGGGAGGCAGCAGUGGGGAAUAUUGGACAAUGGGGGGAACCCUGAUCCAACCAUGCCGCGUGUGUGAAGAAGGCCUUAUGGUUGUAAAGCACUUUAAGCGAGGAGGAGGCUACUUUAGUUAAUACCUAGAGAUAGUGGACGUUACUCGCAGAAUAAGCACCGGCUAACUCUGUGCCAGCCGCCGCGGUAA